CGCUGCCCCUCACAAAGCCUUAUAUGCCUCAUUCAGGGAGGGAGAAAAGCAGUCCCUCUUGAGACCUGUUUCCAUGGUAACCAGUGAGCAAUUGACAAUGUGGCUGCAGUUGGGCCUCCUUGAAGGGGAAAAAUCUUCAACAGGAACCAGGCCACUGAGAGAUGGAAGAAAGGACAGCUCAUACCCAAACCUCACGAGGAGGCUACAGGAAUCACUGGACAGUUCCUUUAUUGGGAAAGCCCCCAGUGACUUUCCAAUGAAAUGGAUAGAGAAGGGAAAAGAGACCCUUCGGAAUCAGAUGAGUCCAUGAACUGGCAGCAGUCAGGGCAGUGAUGACAUCACAGAAGGAGGAUGGGCCUUAGACAGACAUCACUCUUUAGAAUCCCUGCAACUUUGAGCAAGUUCGUGAAUCUCACUAAGGCUCAGUUUCCUCCAUAAAAUUAAUCAAUAUCAGGGCCUCUGCAUUGGACAACUCCAGAGGGCACCAUUGGGGUUAUACCUUGUGUUUGCCUAACCUUCAUUGCAGUGGGCAGGUGCAUGCUUUCUACAAUGUCCUAAGGUCUAAAGGGGUAGAGUUCUGUGUGUGGCAUUUUAGGCCUGGAAAGGAUGAGAGUCUACAAAACCAGAGAAAUACUGCAGCAAAUGGUCAAACCCAGGAGGGAAUGGUAUGAACCUCUGGUUUACAGCCAUUGGUAAGAAGCACACAUGACAACCUGGACUUUCCAUCAACAUUUGAAGCGGGAGCAGUCUUGUGGGAUCAAGCUCUUAACCUGUGGGGUCUGCUACUAACUCUGAAUCCAAUGAACACAUGGACCCAACACUCCUUUGGCCAAGUUGAUGAUUCUCCACCAUUUAUUUGCCUGCCUCACUAUACACUUCUAGCAAGCCACUGCAAGGCUGCAUUGCAGCUAAGAGGAAGCCCUCCUUGAAGGCUGCACAGCAAGGAGUGUUGGCAGAGUAGCUGGGUUUCCACUGGGAGAGCACGAGUCAGCAUCAUGCUGGGCUCAAGCAUGGAUAUGCACUGCUGCUGCCAGAGCAUCAUAAUUUGCAAGCAUUUAUCGAGUACCCUUCAUCUAAUUUUCAUCCUGCGGAAACUAGAAAUUGCUACACUUGCACACAAUAAACUUCUGGCAGUUAGCCUUCUAAACUGGGACACUACCAUUUGGGAGGGAAAAGACCUUUCUGGUGGUUAAAGAUGGGGCUUCCAGUUACUGCAUUUGUUUUAAUACAGUCUAUUCCAUAGAGCCAUCGAUGGAGACUCAUUAUAUAACCUUUCGUGGAAAGCUUCUGACUUCUUUCUCAAUGCACAGUGCUUCACGUGACUUUUGAGUUAUAGCUGACUGCCCUAGCUCACAUUUUAGUGCCAGAAGAUCCCAGACCACCACCCAUGAUCCCAGGCUGGAGGAAGCAGCAGGCUAGCGGAAUUCAGGACCAAUGAGCCAGGAAAGAGGACCCAAUGCAGAGCUCACAUCCCACCCUCCUUCCCCCAUGACAAAGCACUGGCAAACCCUGCCAAAGAAGAAGCUUGGCUGCAAAGCAGUCUGGAACUGGACCCGGGAUAGAUUCACCAGGAGCUCACCACCACAGGGAAUGCUGCACUUUGACUGGACAGAAUGCAUCCUCCAUGCCCACAGAGCAUGUGCCCAGGAUGAAUCUCACUGUAUCCCAGUUCCUCAUGCUUGGCCCCAAACCUCUUUUUCACAGUAAUAAAGAAAACACACUUUACAAAAAGGCAGUUCAUCUAUGAACAUAUUGGCUAGGAUAACACAUCUUAGAGCUAAAUGUGUCACUGUAAAUGGACUCAUUUUAUAUCUCCACAUACUGUAGAUGUUUAAAAAAAGGUACAUGCACAGAAACUAUGGGAACUGAACUGGAGUAUGAGCCAAUUACCCUAGACUUUGCUGUAAUCUGACUUUUGUGUAGCACAUUUUCUUUAGCAUUUUUCUUAAUGGGGGAUGGGGAGUGGAGGCAAAGGAGACAAACUGACAGCAGAGCAUUUUAUUUAGACAAAAGAAAUAUAUUCAGCCUGUCUUAAAUUAUUUGUCAUUAUAAUGACGUUUUCUAAUUUAAAAGUAUUUUGCUUAAUAAUAUAUAAUUGAAUAUUAUAUGCAAUUAAUCAUAUCAUCAUAGCUCUUUAAAGAUUUAUCUCUCAAUAUCUAAUUAAUUACGAGGUCUUGUUUCUUCCAUCUUCAAAAUACACCUGGAAUUUUUACUUAUUCCUAU
rnacentral:lncRNA from 1 species